GGAGAUCCCCACAUUUGCUACUUAGACACGACCAGACUCUACGGGAGGCAGCAGUGAGGAAUAUUGGACAAUGGGCGCAAGCUGAUCCAGCCAUGCCGCGUGCAGGAUGACGGUCCUAUGGAUUGUAAACUGCUUUAUACGAGAAGAAACACUGCUUCGUGAAGCAGCUUGACGGUAUCGUAAGAAUAAGGAUCGGCUAACUCCGUGCCAGCAGCCGCGGUAAUACGGAGGAUCCAAGCGUUAUCCGGAAUCAUUGGGUUUAAAGGGUCCGUAGGCGGUUUAAUAAGUCAGUGGUGAAAGCCCAUCGCUCAACGGUGGAACGGCCAUUGAUACUGUUAAACUUGAAUUAUUAGGAAGUAACUAGAAUAUGUAGUGUAGCGGUGAAAUGCUUAGAGAUUACAUGGAAUACCAAUUGCGAAGGCAGGUUACUACUAAUGGAUUGACGCUGAUGGACGAAAGCGUGGGUAGCGAACAGGAUUAGAUACCCUGGUAGUCCACGCCGUAAACGAUGGAUACUAGCUGUUGGAAGCAAUUUCAGUGGCUAAGCGAAAGUGAUAAGUAUCCCACCUGGGGAGUACGUUCGCAAGAAUGAAACUCAAAGGAAUUGACGGGGGCCCGCACAAGCGGUGGAGCAUGUGGUUUAAUUCGAUGAUACGCGAGGAACCUUACCAAGGCUUAAAUGUAGUUUGACCGGUUUGGAAACAGAUCUUUCGCAAGACAAAUUACAAGGUGCUGCAUGGUUGUCGUCAGCUCGUGCCGUGAGGUGUCAGGUUAAGUCCUAUAACGAGCGCAACCCCUGUUGUUAGUUGCCAGCGAGUCAUGUCGGGAACUCUAACAAGACUGCCAGUGCAAACUGUGAGGAAGGUGGGGAUGACGUCAAAUCAUCACGGCCCUUACGCC
rnacentral:rRNA from 1 species